rnacentral:rRNA from 1 species
GAUGAACGCUAGCGGCAGGCUUAAUACAUGCAAGUCGAGGGGCAGCAGGACUGUAGCAAUACAGUUGCUGGCGGCCGGCAAACGGGUGCGGAACACGUACGCAAUCUACCCAAAACUGGUGAAUAGCCCUCCGAAAGGAGGAUUAAUACACCGUAACUUAUGGAGGUGGCAUCACCAUCAUAAUAUAGCUCCGGCGGUUUUGGAUGAGCGUGCGCCUGAUUAGGUAGUUGGCGGGGUAACGGCCCACCAAGCCUGCGAUCAGUAACUGGUGUGAGAGCACGACCAGUCACACGGGCACUGAGACACGGGCCCGACUCCUACGGGAGGCAGCAGUAAGGAAUAUUGGUCAAUGGACGCAAGUCUGAACCAGCCAUGCCGCGUGAAGGAUGAAGGUCCUCUGGAUUGUAAACUUCUUUUAUAGGGGAAGAAAUCUGAAUAUUCUUAUUCAGUUGACGGUACCCUAGGAAUAAGCACCGGCUAACUCCGUGCCAGCCGCCGCGGUAAGAC